rnacentral:snRNA from 1 species
GGAUGUGAGGGCGAUCUGGCUGCAACAUCUGUCACCCCAUUGAUCGCCAGGGUUGAUUCGGCUGAUCUGGCUGGCUAGGCGGGUGUCCCCUUCCUCCCUCACCGCUCCAUGUGCGUCCCUCCCGAAGCUGCACGCUCGGUUGAAGAGGACGACCUUCUCCGAUAGAAGGAAGACCGUCCUUCGGUCAAGGGUAUACGAGUAGCUGUGCUCCCCUGCUAGAACCUCCAAACAAGUCUCAAGAGGGACACAAAACUAUAUGGUGUUAUAACAAAGAGUUUUAGAAUAUUAAUUAAAAAGAUACUAAAU